AUUGAACGCUGGCGGCAGGCCUAACACAUGCAAGUCGAGCGAGCGGCGGACGGGUGAGUAAUGUCUGGGAAACUGCCUGAUGGAGGGGGAUAACUACUGGAAACGGUAGCUAAUACCGCAUACCAUCAGAUGUGCCCAGAUGGGAUUAGCUAGUAGGUGGGGUAACGGCUCACCUAGGCGACGAUCCCUAGCUGGUCUGAGAGGAUGACCAGCCACACUGGAACUGAGCCACGGUCCAGACUCCUACGGGAGGCAGCAGUAGGGAAUCUUGCACAAUGGGCGAAAGCCUGACGGAGCCACGCCGCGUGAGUGAUGAAGGUCUUCGGAUCGUAAAGCUCUUUUAUUAAGGAAGCGUUACCUGCACAGAAAGCAACGGCUAACUCCGUGCCAGCAGCCGCGGUAAUAC
rnacentral:rRNA from 1 species